rnacentral:rRNA from 1 species
UACGAAGGGGGCUAGCGUUGUUCGGAAUUACUGGGCGUAAAGGGCGCGUAGGCGGUCCUUCAAGUCAGGCGUGAAAGCCCCGGGCUCAACCUGGGAACCGCGCUUGAGACUGGCGGGCUAGAGUUCGGGAGAGGAUGGUGGAAUUCCCAGUGUAGAGGUGAAAUUCGUAGAUACUGGGAAGAACACCGAUGGCGAAGGCAGCCAUCUGGACCGACACUGACGCUGAGGCGCGAAAGCGUGGGGAGCAAACAGG